UACGGAGGGUGCAAGCGUUGUUCGGAUUUAUUGGGCGUAAAGGGCGUGUAGGCGGUCUCGUAAGUCUGAUGUGAAAGCCCCGGGCUCAACCCAGGAAGUGCAUUCGAAACUGGCAGGCUUGAAUAUGGAAGAGGGUCGCGGAAUUCCCGGUGUAGAGGUGAAAUUCGUAGAUAUCGGGAGGAACACCAGUGGCGAAGGCGGCGACCUGGGCCAAUAUUGACGCUGAGGUGCGAAAGCGUGGGGAGCAAACAGG
rnacentral:rRNA from 1 species